rnacentral:rRNA from 1 species
AUAUACUUUAGUGGCGGACGGGUGAGUAACGCGCGGGCAACCUACCCUAAAGAGAGGAACAACUCAGGGAAACUUGAGCUAAUACCACAUAACAUGUUGAAGUAGCAUUACUUUAACAUCAAAGGAGAAAUCCGCUUUGGGAUGGGCCCGCGUCUGAUUAGCUAGUUGGUAAGGUAACGGCUUACCAAGGCGACGAUCAGUAGCCGGACUGAGAGGUCGAACGGCCACAUUGGGACUGAGACACGGCCCAGACUCCUACGGGAGGCAGCAGUGGGGAAUAUUGCACAAUGGGGGAAACCCUGAUGCAGCGACGCCGCGUGAAGGAUGAAGGAUUUUGGUCUGUAAACUUCUUUAAUCUGUGACGAAUAAAUGACGGUAGCAGAGGAAUAAGCCCCGGCUAACUACGUGCCAGCAGCCGCGGUAAUACGUAGGGGGCGAGCGUUGUCCGGAAUUACUGGGUGUAAAGGGUGCGUAGGCGGGUAUAUAAGUCAGAUGUGAAAACCUCAGGCUCAACUUGAGGAUUGCAUUUGAAACUAUAUAUCUUGAGUGCAGGAGAGGUAAGUGGAAUUCCUAGUGUAGCGGUGAAAUGCGUAGAUAUUAGGAGGAACACCAGUGGCGAAGGCGACUUACUGGACUGUAACUGACGCCGAGGCACGAAAGUGUGGGGAGCAAACAGGAUUAGAUACCCUGGUAGUCCACACUGUAAACGAUGGAUACUAGGUGUAGGAGGUAUCGACUCCUUCUGUGCCGGAGUUAACACAAUAAGUAUCCCACCUGGGGAGUACGGCCGCAAGGUUGAAACUCAAAGAAAUUGACGGGGGCCCGCACAAGCAGUGGAGUAUGUGGUUUAAUUCGAAGCAACGCGAAGAACCUUACCAGGGCUUGACAUACACAUGAAAC